rnacentral:rRNA from 1 species
UACGUAGGGUGCGAGCGUUAAUCGGAAUUACUGGGCGUAAAGCGUGCGCAGGCGGUUUGCUAAGACCGAUGUGAAAUCCCCGGGCUCAACCUGGGAACUGCAUUGGUGACCGGCAGGCUAGAGUAUGGCAGAGGGGGGUAGAAUUCCACGUGUAGCAGUGAAAUGCGUAGAGAUGUGGAGGAAUACCGAUGGCGAAGGCAGCCCCCUGGGCCAAUACUGACGCUCAUGCACGAAAGCGUGGGGAGCAAACAGG